rnacentral:lncRNA from 1 species
AUCCUGAAAAAAAACCCCUUAAAACAUCUAAAGAAAAAACAAUUCACCCUACCAUAUUCUUUAGUAAUAUCACUUAAUGAAUUAUGCAUAUGUUUGAUAUUCCUUCCUUACUGGGAAAAGUAUAAAAAGUGCAGAAAUCUGUGCCGAAAUAUUUUUUUCAGGCUGAGGGAUUUGCAGGAGUUGACCGGACGGGCCGAGCCAGAGAGGAGUCAUAACAUCACAGCAUGUUGUUUUAAGCUAGCGUUAGCCAAGAAGUUAGCCAAUGCUAUUGGCUACCCUUAGCUCCAGAAACAAGGGGAAUCUUUUUCCCCCUUUUUUACCCACAUUGCAAAGCAUAAUAACAUCAUGACUGAGGUUAUUUGGCUGGUGCAAGGAAAGAGAGCUGUGGCAGUUGUGUGUGUACAGAUGAGGCAAAGAGAAGAAAGUCACUCAGGCGGUGAGCUUCACUCAUUUCUGGGAUAUACAACAGAAAGGCAACACAGAGGUGCAGAUACUGUGAAGGUGUCAGAAGGUACCAUGGUCACAAGAAGCUUCAGUACUGCGGGAUGCAGAGCUCUCACAGUGUGUGUAGCGCUUUUCCACUUCAAACUUCCUCUCAUUUUCUGUGGUCACUUCCUGGGUGUCCACAGUCAAGAUCCCUAGACCUUUACAUUUUCAAUGGAGAAACAGUCUCCAUACAAAUUCCCUGCAUCUCAACAAAUAUGGACCUUGUUCCUCUUCUGUCACCUUUUCUCACCGUGCUCCUGUGUGCUGUUUACGGUAUCAGACAGCCUCAGUCAAACACACCCACGGAAACUCCUUGCCACAGCGCUGAAGGUGGAUUGUGCUCCCACCUCUUGUUUUCUCCACGAUGUGAAGCUCUAAGCCAAAGACAGAACACAGAGGAAUGA